rnacentral:rRNA from 1 species
CUAUAAGGGGACUGCCGGUGAUAAACCGGAGGAAGGUGAGGACGACGUCAAGUCAUCAUGGCCCUUACGAGUAGGGCUACACACGUGCUACAAUGGGAAAUACAGACGGACGCUAAGCCGCGAGGUGGUGCUAAUCCUAAAAAGUCUUUCGUAGUCCGGAUUGGAGUCUGCAACUCGACUCCAUGAAGUCGGAAUCGCUAGUAAUCGCGGAUCAGCAUGCCGCGGUGAAUACGUUCUCGGGUCUU